ACGCAUCUAUCACUAUUUGGUGGCAUAAAUUCCCAGUACAUGAACUUCUACAAAAUAAAACUGUUUUAGAUACUUUUUUAAAAAGAGAUAAUAAAAAAAUCUUCCAACAUUUCCCAGUGAUGAAAUAGUUAUGAUAAUUUUAGAAAAAUUCAAAACAAUUUCCAUUAAUUUUCUAAUUAUCCUUUUGACUCUUACAAUCCUCUAUGCUAUCACUUUCGUUAUUUUGAAUUUCUUUGGGGAAGGAGACGAAUACAAUAAAAGACGCGAAAUCAAAGCAAAAGCAGCAGAAGAUUUACAAAAAAAGAUUUGCGAAUCUACGAAUAUGGGUCAGAAGUGCACGGUUACAGAGCCUGCAACCCAAUCGGUGCAAGCAGUAUGUCCUUCAAACCAGACAUUGGUGAAGGACACGCGAAGGAUCUCGAAGGGUGAAAAUGAUGGAUGGGAGGCAUCAAGAAACUAUCCGAUUCAGAGAAAGUGACUACCAAAGGGCCCUGGAUGAGAUUAAUUUUAUUGAACCAGAUGACUAGGUUGCAUACGGAAUUUCUGUGAAAAGAUUGUCCUGAUUUCAAAUAAGACAGAUUAAGAACUUGGAAAAUUCAAAUAGAAUUAGGGACGCGCAUUGAACCAUUUUUAAGGAAAUUCAUGAAUAGAUAUAUCCUUCGACCCCUUGCAACCUAGGCAAUUGCUGUACUAUACUGAAAAUCUUUGGCUAUAGU